rnacentral:tRNA from 1 species
UCUCUGGAGAUCCAGUGGUUAGGAUUUGGUGCUUUCACUGCUGAGGCCCAGGUUCAAUUCUUGGUUGGGGAA